GGUUUACGAUCCAUCAGUACCACGGACUCAAGCGCCAAUCAUUGAUCUUGCCUCAAAAGAUAUAAAGAUAGUUAACGCGAUUCAUCCGUCAAAAUUACCGGAUAAAGUAAAAGAGUAUCUAAAUCCGCGUUCGCGUAUUUCUUAUUUCUUUGAUAGUGAUGAGUAGUUAUCCACAGCUUUUUGUGGGUAAAUUGUAUAAAUCCUGAGUGUUAUUUCUGGGUAAUUUUAGAGUUGGAUGGAAAGUAUCCAUUUGGCAUGUUUUUUUAGAAAAAAUGCAUUUUUAGUAUUGCCAAAGAAAAUCUUCUCCCUAUAAUGCGCAUCCAUCGACACAGCAGACGUCACAAGGCUUCAGCAGGGUCGAAGAGGUAAAAAGCUUCUACAAAAAAUUAGUUUAAAAAAGUGUUUGACACUAACAACUAAAUCGCUAGAAUGCACCUCCGCUUUGAGAGAAAAACUUCUCGCAAAGCAAGCUCUUUAACAAUAUAGACCUAUCAAUCUGUGUGGGCACUCGUUGAUGAUAAUCCAAUUAGAUAUUUCUUUCUUAACGGAAAGCGGUAUCAAAUUAGGUUUCAAUGAAACGAAGUGACCAUUCGAAUUGGGAAGCAGCCUUGAGCUGUUUUGUUUUACUUUUUCAAAAGUAAAAACCAAUAAG
rnacentral:rRNA from 1 species